GAAUUUUGGGCAAUGGGCGAAAGCCUGACCCAGCAACGCCGCGUGAAGGACGAAAUCCCUCCGGGAUGUAAACUUCGAAAGUCAGGAAAGAAAUCCCGCGAGAUAAUACCUCGUGGGGAUGACGGUACCUGACGUAAGCACCGGCUACCUACGUGCCAGCAGCCGCGGUAAUACGUAGGGGGCAAGCGUUGUUCGGAAUUACUGGGCGUAAAGGGCGCGUAGGCGGCACAGCAAGUCGGGAGUGAAAGCCCGGGGCUCAACCCCGGAACGGCUUUCGAAACUGCUGAGCUAGAGUGCGGAAGGGGCAACCGGAAUUCCCAGUGUAGCGGUGAAAUGCGUAGAUAUUGGGAAGAACACCUGAGGCGAAGGCGGGUUGCUGGGCCGACACUGACGCUGAGGCGCGAAAGCCAGGGGAGCAAACGGG
rnacentral:rRNA from 1 species